rnacentral:lncRNA from 1 species
UGAUACUUCAAAGUAAAUAUCUCGGAGACGUAUUUCUUCGUUAUUUUAUUAAUUAUUGAGUAUCCCAUGUCGUUUAUUCAUUUAAAACUUUUUUUUUUUUUUAAGUUAGCUUCAUUUAUUUCCAUUCGUUAUCUAGGUUAGCAAAUCUCUCUAAACGUUAAAGUCAGCGAGAUCGCAUGCGAAUUAAGCGAUGCGAGACACAAGUCGCAGCAGAGAGAGAGAUUAAAUAAUAGCGAUGAUGAUACAAAAUUACGAAUAAUAAAACGAAUUUCUUGGAAGCGACAGAUAUAAUUAUGAUAAUUUUAUGAAUUUAGUCAUUAUAUUUUUAAGUAUUUUUUUUUAUCGAAUAUUUAUCAAAACUCGUAAAAUGCAGUUUUUUUACUACACUAUUGAAUUGUUUAGCCAUCGGGCGAAACUUCGAUCAAUCAUUUUUGAAGACAUUCUUGAUUUCGAAUACUGUAAUUGUUUUGCCCCAGAACGGGGAAAAAAGAAGAAGAAAAAAAAACCUGGAAAAUAAUUUCGGAUCGUUGGAAGCAUGAAAUAUUUUGUUAAAAUAAUAAUAAUUACUCAGACACUAACUAAAUUAACGUUAAUUUAUUAUUCUUGUUUUGAUGUUGGUUCUAUCAUUAUUUAUGAGAUUUAUAUUUAUAAUAAUGUUUAUAAAUAUUGCAUGCUGUGUGUGUGUGUGUGUGUGUGUGUGUGUGUGUGUGUGUGUUCUAAAUAUAUCAUGCAUUCAAACAUAUUCGAUAAGCAAUAUAUAUAUGUAUAUUUAAAGCUAUAAUUACUGUAAGUAGAUAUAAUGUCCUAUUUUUAAUGCAAAAUCGAUAGAAUUUUCUAUUAACGUAUGCGAUUUAUUAUAAAUAAAUAAAUCCGUCCCUAGAUGGCAUGUUUCUCUUCUAUUGUAAUCAGAAAACCUUAAAAAACUCGUUUGCUUGUAUUAUCUGUGUCUAUAAAACCUUUAUACCGAUCGAACUUACUUCAGAUCG